rnacentral:rRNA from 1 species
GUAGGUGGCAAGCGUUGUCCGGAAUUAUUGGGCGUAAAGCGCGCGCAGGCGGUUCCUUAAGUCUGAUGUGAGGGCCCACGGCUCAACCGUGGAGGGUCAUUGGAAACCGGAGAGCUUGAGUACGGAAGAGGAAAGCGGAAUUCCACGUGCAGCGGUGAAAUGCGUAGAGAUGUGGAGGAGCGCCAGUGGCGAAGGCGGCUUUCUGGCCUGUAACUGACGCUGAGGCGCGAAAGCGUGGGGGGAGCAAACAGGAGUAGAUACCCUGGUAGUCCACGCCGUAAACGAUGAGUGCAAGUGUUAGGGGGUUCCCCGCCCCUUAGUGCUGCAGCUAACGCAUUAAGCACUCCCGCCUGGGAGUACGGCCGCAAGGCUG